GGGGAUGAUCGGUUUCGACAUCGUCUGCGAACCCACGAGAAGCGGGCCGAGGAUCCAGGGUUAUCUCGUAAACGAUCUCUGGAAAACAAUAAGUGCCAAUGCAAAGCGCACUGACUUCGCCCUCGCUGCAUAAGCGAGCCCGAUAGUCCGUCAGCCCGCGGGUCUGUUCCCGCCCCGGUAGCUGGCGUCAUCUAGGGAACUUGCUGCGUGUGGUCGCCUGAGCGACACGCGGGACUUCAUUCAGGCUGGGCCCGUCGACCUAGGCGCCUGUGGCAAAGGUCGGGGCCGAGUAGAACGCUUGCACAGGCUGCGCCCGGAGAAGGCGUGGAAUCACAGCGAUGGACGGGGGUUCAAUUCCCCCCAUCUCCACCA
rnacentral:tmRNA from 1 species